GCAUUAGUGGCUCAGUGUCUAAAGCGCCGGCCUUGUAAGCCGGAUACCGAGGGUUUAAAUCCCUCCUACUGCU
rnacentral:tRNA from 1 species